ensembl:lncRNA
CUUCUACCAAAUUCUAUUGGUCACCCAGGACCAGCCCUGAUUUGAUAUGGAGGGAACCAGCAAGGUUGUGAAUACCAGGUGGCGGGGAUCACUGUGGGCUGUCAUGGAGAAUGACUACCACAUGUAGAAAUGAGGACUCAAACGGAGGUCUGUCUGAGGCAAAGCCCUUGGACCUCACCAAGCUGCCUUCCCCAAGCAACCUGUUUAAUUUGGCGGUCCUUCUGAAAGGGAUAUCACCUUCAGCCUGCAACAGCAUGGCGUAGAUAAACUGCUUACAUUAAGAAUGUCCUGAGAGAGGCAGAGAAGCCUGGGUCCUGGGGCACGGAAUAAGGCUUACUUCUGAAUGAUGGCCCAGGCUGCGCUGGCUUUUGCGAAUGUCUCCUCCUCUGGUUGUGCCUGGGGCAGCUCAGGAAGAGUAUGGGGACCAUCCAGGACGUUAGCAGCUCCUACUGUGGCAAGCACCGGUCUCCAUGACUGCAGUUCUCUCCCAGAGGCAGAAAGCAGGGAACUAAGCUUCCAUGUGGACUAAAUUUCAUGGCCACCGCCCAGAAGGGUUGGAAGAGCUGAUGACGUCCCAGGACAGGCUGGAACUUGAGCCCAGCAUUUUACAGAGGGAAACCAGGCCCAGAGAAGGAAUGAUUUUCUUAAUGUCACACUUCCAGAAGUCAGGAAAGCAGAGACCAGCUCAGGACUCAUGAUACCUUUGCCCUAACCUCAAGGCCUUAUCCAGUCUUACCCUUCAUCCCACAAACAACUGGCCAUCAACUGGGCGAUUUUCUUGCCUCUGCUCCCCCAUGGGAAAUGCCAGCCGACUGUAAACGCCCAUGCCCUGAGAGCCUGGCAAGCUGCAUGGCACUUACGUCUGCUGUCUCUGGGAAACAGCACUGACUCCAGAGUUUGCGAGGCGAUCAAGUCGAAGAGCUGAAGAACGGCCUCAAGAUCUUUUUGCCCAGAGCGCCCUCUGGUGGCCAACUGGAUGGCAACCAUUCUCCUUCACUGUGUGAGAUGCUAAGUGGUUGGAGCCAGAGUCUUGUUUUCACUGUUCCUCUUGGGACUUGCUCCUCCCCAGUUAAUGCGCUCUGGUGUCCACUCUGUACAACACAUAUUUACUUCUUACUGCAUCCCUGGAAUAACUGACUCCCGGCCAAUAUUGUUUCUCUGUAUGAGUCACACUGAGACUGGAGCUGAGGGAACUCAAGACAACAAGGCACGGUUCACGCCCCUGAGGAAUGUAAGUUUCAUCGGGCUUGAGACAGGCACGCAAGCAGCUGAGCAGAAUCAGAGCCAGAGGGGCCAAGACUGGACGAAAGCGAGCAAAGGGCUAGGGGACACAGCCAAAACAGGAGCGAGUGGCAGCCACAGAGAUGCAGGAGGCCUUUCUGGGGAAACUGGUGUCUGAGUUCUCAAGGAGAAGCGGGAUUUCUGAAUGGGGGAGGGGCGAGGGCAGGGAGGGACGGGGCGUGGCCAAUCUCUCCCUGUUUCACCUUCUCCUGUGGCCUUUCUCUGUUUCCCUCCCUCCUUACUCACCACGGUCCCAAUACCUCUCCGAAUCACCGCUACCCAAAGUGCCCACUUUCCAGGAGAGAGCCGGACCAGUCCCUGGGCGUCUUCCAACAGACCUCCCCUCUCUCCCCGUGCCACGUCUCCUACGGUUCCUCGGGCGCCCACCCCUCGUGCCCUCCACCCUGCAUUGACCAGCUGGAUUCCUGAAACCUGCAUUGGCCUGUGUACAGUUUGGGCACUGUCUGAAUCAAUAACGGGAAAACGGUUCCUGAACAGGAGCAGCGGGGAAUUAGAAAAAUCUAACGAAGCCUGAUUGUAAAGUCCUGGAAGGGAGACAAAAAGGGGCCUUUCCUAUGGGUCGAAUGGGACCUACAGAGAGGGUGACUCCCGGAGAAUUCAGAGGAGGGAACAAAGAGUUCACUCUGGGGCCAUGGUGGCAGGUAGCGGUUAGAAGCUGGAGAAAGGAGGGAAUGGAACUCCAAUGGCAAUGACAAUAACUUCCUGACAAGAAUGACAGGAGGAAGCUGGGAGCAAAGACAGGAGUGCUUGGGGCAUGUUUGAAGGAGGGCUCUUGGCUUAUCUUACCUGGAUUGGAGGGUUGAGGUAUAUUUGUCUUUUACGAGGCCUAAAGAUGGUUUUUCUUAGGGCAGAGGGGAGCCAUUGAGGGUUAGGGACCAGGAGAGUGGCGUGAUGAAAGGUAUCUUGGCAUAGAUCCAUAAACAAAUGUUUCCUUCCCACACUGGUUUCUGUGACAAGGCCUCAGACUGCGGUUCCUGCAGGAGCCCCAUGUGCCUGCCUGGGUACCACCCCUGCAGGUAGGAGCUGCUCUCCUGCCCUCAGUGUCCCCCUGCAGUUUUCAGCCUUUCUGCUACUCGAGCGAGUGAGGAAGCUGGCCACGGACCUCACCCAGAGAGAGUGAACUUGAGGCCAGCUGGACACUUGAGGGAAGGAGACCAGCCAUGGAACAGGGGUGUGGGUCCCAGGCCUCUUGGGCUUUACCUGAAUCUGCCACCUGCCAGCUGAGGGGUCUUUAAGCAAACCCUGUGUCCUCUCGGUCUUGGGGACCUGCUGGCAGCCAUGCCACCCUCUCCCUGUCACCCAAGCAGCUUGGCCUUUCACUUGGGUUCCAGAUGCAAAUGCAGAGUUUGCUGGAGACUUGGUGUUCUCUGAGAAGCUAAAGUGGGCCACAGUGCUCAGAUGUCCAAGUCAGUCUAUUCCUAUAAUUAAAAAACAAUGAUAACAAUAAUCAUAGCAUCUACUGAGCAAGUACUACAUACAAGGCACUCUGCUAAGCCCUCUAAAUACACAAGCUAUUUUCAUCCUUACAAUAAACCUGUGAUGUAGGUAUUAUGAUGCCCACUUUGGAGAUGAGGUUAAUGAAGGUGAAGUGACUUGUCCGAGAAAGUCCCAAAAUUGGGAUUUGAAUCCUCUAACUCCAGAACCCAAGUCCUCAGCCCCUGUGGCAGUGAUUCUAAAGGGUCCACCCUCCACCCUUCACGCAGGCUGAGCUCCAUUUGUCCAUGUGUACAGCCUGCUGGGCCACAUGCACAGGUCUGCUGACUCUCCUCCAGCUGUAGCCUGGCUUCACACCUUCCUGGAUAAAUAAUGCCACAGCUGCAAAAACCUAACAGCCAAGUUCAGCUGUGGGUGGAAAGCACACUUUAGUGGCUGGAGCCCAGAGGUGGCUUCCAUUUGUCCCGAGUAUUUGAGGUGGCUGUGGGGAGCAUGGAAGAAGGCCAAAGCAGAAGGUGUUUGGUAAGGAAUGCUAUUAUUUCUCCUUCGAGAGAUUCAUUUGCUCAGGGAACAAUUCACGAUUAUUUGCAAUUGGCAUCUAGUUUCUAUGCAAAAGAGAGGCAGAAAACGGCAGAGUGGUCUCUGAAGCUAACAGUCCUGAUGCUCGUCUUGGCUCUCCUUCUCCCUAGUUGGGUCAACUUGGGCAAAUCACUUCACCUCUCUGAGACUCAGUUUCCUCGUGUGUUAAAUGGGUAUGCUACAGAACCACUUCAUAGAUCGAGCGAGAUGAUCCCUAAUAGAUCCUUAACACAGGGGCUCAGCAAGCGGGAGCUAUUAUUAAUAAAAUAGAUGCAC